rnacentral:tRNA from 1 species
GAUUAAAUGGCUGAAAAUAGGUAAUAAAUUGUAAAUUUAUUUAUGAAAUAUAAAAAUUUCUUUAAUCA